rnacentral:ncRNA from 1 species
ACUUAAAUACGCGACGGGGUAUUGUAAGUGGCAGAGUGGCCUUGCUGCCACGAUCCACUAAGAUUCAGCCCUUUAUCGCUUCGAUUCGU